rnacentral:rRNA from 1 species
AUUGAACGCUGGCGGCAUGCCUUACACAUGCAAGUCGAACGGUAACAGGCCGCAAGGUGCUGACGAGUGGCGAACGGGUGAGUAAUGCAUCGGAACGUGCCCAGUCGGGGGGGAUAACUGCUCGAAAGAGCAGCUAAUACCGCAUACGACCUGAGGGUGAAAGCGGGGGACCGUAAGGCCUCGCGCGAUUGGAGCGGCCGAUGACAGAUUAGCUAGUUGGUGGGGUAAAGGCCUACCAAGGCAACGAUCUGUAGUUGGUCUGAGAGGACGACCAGCCACACUGGGACUGAGACACGGCCCAGACUCCUACGGGGUGCAGCAGUGGGGAAUUUUGGACAAUGGGCGCAAGCCUGAUCCAGCAAUGCCGCGUGCAGGACGAAGGCCUUCGGGUUGUAAACUGCUUUUGUCAGGGAAGAAAUCUUCUGGGCUAAUACCCCGGGAGGAUGACGGUACCUGAAGAAUAAGCACCGGCUAACUACGUGCCAGCCGCCGCCGCAGUAA